GCCCCAAAAAGGCCAGUUGAGAAAAUGCAUAUGGACUUCAAUCACAGUGGGAUCAUGCUCUUAAAAGUUACAGUAAAAAGGAAAUUGUUGUCAAUGCAUAUUGCCUAAAGGCAUGGUUUGAAUGCAACUCUUCACACUCUUCCCUUUUUCCUGGUUACUACUGUCUCUACAGUUGAUUCUGCUUUGCUUUAUCAAUAGUUUUUUUUUUUUUUUGUUAACCAAAUCCAUAUCAGAGGUAGUUUCCAACAAAUAUUAAAAUUGCAUGUCAGAAACAAAUUUGUCAGCACAAUUGCUAAAUCAAAUCCCUCUCAUACCAUAGUGAACUGGCUUACAAUAACUCCAACUGCAAGACAUAAGCUUUGAAGAGAGAUUGGUAAAAGGAUAAACAACAAUUAUUCGGUCAGAAUUUAGAGAGAAUGUAAAAAUAAAUGCUCUCUAUGCACCUACAGAUGUACCAAGUUGUCACUGAGUUUUCUAGUCAUGCAUCCAUUGCAGUAAACAAUUUAGCAUAGAAAGGUAAAUAAAAAAAAGAGGUCUAUUGGCGCAUGGACAAGGAUACUCAUCAAUAACGAAAUCACCAGCAAACUUACACCUAUAAGGCUGAUCUCAGUGAGUGAUGUAUCUGCGUGAAACUUGCUGAGCCACCGAAGGUGACGUGCCCAAAGGUAUCCAAUGAUCUGGGUGUGGCGUGUGUGGACUCUGUCCUCUUGAAAGACUCCUAGUGAUUGGCUUGUGACUGAUUAAGGGCAUCACCUUGCGCUUCUUACUGGGCUCAGUGAACUGAAGCUCUUUUGGUCCCAUGGGACUCUCAGGUGCUUGAUUCUUUCUCUUCCUUUCCAACAGUUCCCACAGUAGCUUCUCAUCUCUAGCUUGAUCUUCUACCUUACCUAAGAGCUUUACAAAGGAAAAACAGAAAGAAGAAAAAUACAACUUUGUUUCAACUGGUAAUCAUUACAAUUUACAAUUAAUCUGCAUUUUUUUAAUGAAAAUCAAAAUUUUAUUCAAACCAGAUAGGAAACCUCAAAACGACUAACAGUUAGUUAGAUUUGAGAUUUCCCACUCAAACUUCCUAGCUUGCCACUGUUGGGUGCGCUGCACCAUGUUCCAGCCCACACUUUGUCUUAGCUCAUUAAAUGAGCUUGUUGGACAAGUGCUGAGAAGUCAGCAAAGUGAAAUGGGUUUGCUGGAGUAGCUUGUCCGAAAGAGAAGAAAUUGGGUUCAUCUUUUCCUCUAUAAUUAUGUACAAAAGUCCACCAACAUUUAUGAAGGGAUGUACAAAAGUCAAGCCACAUAAAUGAAUAUGUGAUGUCAAACUCGUGAGCCACGUUGGAAGGAAGAAAGAAAAGAAAGAAGCAAAAGGCAAGAGUCAUUCGGCUAAGGAAGAACUGAAGAAAAGAAAUUGGUUGAAGCAAAGUCAAGAUAAGUUGGCUUGCAUUUAUUGUGACUUGAUAUGAAGAGUGUGAAAGGGAGAAAAGAAGGAAAAGAAGAAGAAAUAAAAGGAGAGGCCAUUCGGCCAUUUGAAGAGGUGAAGAAAAGAAGUGAAGUCGCAGAGUGUGAGGACUGGUGCAGUCUUGAAGAACUGUGAGUGAGAGCAAGUAAAAGAGAAGAGAAAAAUAGAGAGGGUAAGAGAAAAUACACAGUGAGGAAGAGAGUAGUGAGUGAAAAGAAAAAGAGAGUUUUUCUUUUCUAAGUUGUAUCUUUAAGUGUUGUAAUUUCUAUUUAAUAUAGUGAAACUAUUCGGAAUU